AUACGGAGGGUCCAAGCGUUAUCCGGAAUCAUUGGGUUUAAAGGGUUCGCAGGCGGUUUAAUAAGUCAGUGGUGAAAUCUCGGGGCUCAACCUCGAAACUGCCAUUGAUACUGUUAGACUUGAAUACAGUUGGAGUAGGCGGAAUGUGUAGUGUAGCGGUGAAAUGCUUAGAUAUUACACAGAACACCGAUAGCGAAGGCAGCUUACUAAACUGUGAUUGACGCUCAUGAACGAAAGCGUGGGGAGCGAACAGGAUUAGAAACCCCUGUAGUCC
rnacentral:rRNA from 1 species